rnacentral:rRNA from 1 species
UACGUAGGGUGCGAGCGUUGAUCGGAAUUACUGGGCGUAAAGCGUGCGCAGGCGGUGAUGUAAGUCAGAUGUGAAAUCCCCGGGCUCAACCUGGGAACUGCAUUUGUGACUGCAUCGCUGGAGUGCGGCAGAGGGGGAUGGAAUUCCGCGUGUAGCAGUGAAAUGCGUAGAUAUGCGGAGGAACACCGAUGGCGAAGGCAAUCCCCUGGACCUGUACUGACGCUCAUGCACGAAAGCGUGGGGAGCAAACAGG